rnacentral:rRNA from 1 species
AACGAACGCUGGCGGCAUGCCUAACACAUGCAAGUCGAACGAGACCUUCGGGUCUAGUGGCGCACGGGUGCGUAACGCGUGGGAACCUGCCCUUAGGUUCGGAAUAACUCCCCGAAAGGGGUGCUAAUACCGGAUAAUGUCUUCGGACCAAAGAUUUAUCGCCUUUGGAUGGGCCCGCGUUGGAUUAGCUAGUUGGUAGGGUAAAAGCCUACCAAGGCGACGAUCCAUAGCUGGUCUGAGAGGAUGAUCAGCCACACUGGGACUGAGACACGGCCCAGACCCCUAGGGGGGGAAGCGGUGGGGAAUAUUGGAAAAGGGGGGAAAGCCUGAUCCAGAAAUGCCGGGUGAGUGAUGAAGGCCUUAGGGUUGAAAAGCUCUUUUACCCGGGAUGAAAAGGACAGUACCGGGAGAAAAAGCCCCGGUUAACUCCGG